CGGCUCUUCAACAAGAGGCCCAUUCCGUUUUGAACGAGGAGCAUUUUGCAUCUGUGCUGAGCAGAGACUUUUCGCGUUGAGUCAAUCAAUCGAACUUCUUGAAGUUUUAUACUGCUUCAACGCAUCUCCAAAAUGUUCUUCCACGUUAGUUUCGCUUUGGUGUUACUCUCCAGCAGUGCUCUAACAAUAAGGGGUCUGGAGCAAAAGAGGAACAAAAUGUGUGUGUUGGACAUAGAUGAAAAAGGCAAUCUUUACCUCUACAAGUUUGCACUACUCUGCAAGAACGAGAUUAUCAAGCGACUGAUCAAUGGAUCUUAUCAGCUCGCAGAGCCGAGCGACGGACCGAAUACAAUAGGUAAUUCAUUGAUAAAACUCUUUUCAUGGCAUGAAUGUGAUUUUCAAUGCAAGCAACUUACUCUUGAAGUGAUCUUUCUGUAUUCUUUACGAAGUAGAAUGUAUAUAC